rnacentral:lncRNA from 1 species
GUAUAGUUUUAGCUAGGAUAACUUUUUAAAUGAUUUACUAUUCUUACGAAAUUCACUGAGGAUGGUCUUCCUCUGAGGAGCGUCAACUGGCGUGUCGCUUGUCAUUAAAGCAGCAAAAGGCUACAGUCACAGAGCCUCCGUGUGGCAAAAGUUAGGAAAUAUCUAACCAAUACAAGGUGGAAUUAAAAUUACGGAAUAAAAAGUUAAAGGAGAAGGAUAGACUACAACGACCAAGAGCCAACAGGUGGACUUCUCCUGUGGGAACAGCACAAAGCCCAGAGCGGAC